CCUACGGGAGGCAGCAGUCGAGAAUUAUUCACAAUGGGGGAAACCCUGAUGGUGCGACGCCGCGUGGGGGAAUGAAGGUCUUCGGAUUGUAAACCCCUGUCAUGUGGGAGCAAAUUAAAAAGAUAGUACCACAAGAGGAAGAGACGGCUAACUCUGUGCCAGCAGCCGCGGUAAUACAGAGGUCUCAAGCGUUGUUCGGAAUCACUGGGCGUAAAGCGUGCGUAGGCUGUUUCGUAAGUCGUGUGUGAAAGGCGCGGGCUCAACCCGCGGACGGCACAUGAUACUGCGAGACUAGAGUAGUGGAGGGGGAACCGGAAUUCUCGGUGUAGCAGUGAAAUGCGUAGAUAUCGAGAGGAACACUCGUGGCGAAGGCGGGUUCCUGGACAUUAACUGACGCUGAGGCACGAAGGCCAGGGGAGCGAAAGGGAUUAGAUACCCGAGUAGUC
rnacentral:rRNA from 1 species